rnacentral:rRNA from 1 species
AGAGUUUGAUCAUGGCUCAGGACCUUCGCUGGCGGCGUGCCUAACACAUGCAAGUCGAGCGAACCAUACAGAAUGAAGUUUUCGGAUGGAUUUCUGUAUGACUGAGCGGCGGACGGGUGAGUAACGCGUGGGUAACCUGCCUUAUACAGGGGGAUAACAGUUAGAAAUGACUGCUAAUACCGCAUAAGCGCACAGUACCGCAUGGUAGUGUGUGAAAAACUCCGGUGGUAUAAGAUGGACCCGCGUCUGAUUAGCCAGUUGGCGGGGUAACGGCCCACCAAAGCGACGAUCAGUAGCCGACCUGAGAGGGUGACUGGCCACAUUGGGACUGAGACACGGCCCAAACUCCUACGGGAGGCAGCAGUGGGGAAUAUUGCACAAUGGGGGAAACCCUGAUGCAGCAACGCCGCGUGAGUGAAGAAGUAUUUCGGUAUGUAAAGCUCUAUCAGCAGGGAAGAAGAUGACGGUACCUGAUUAAGAAGCCCCGGCUAACUACGUGCCAGCAGCCGCGGUAAUACGUAGGGGGCAAGCGUUAUCCGGAUUUACUGGGUGUAAAGGGAGCGCAUACGGCAGCGCAAGUCUGGAGUGAAAGCCCGGGGCCCAACCCCGGAACUGCUCUGGAAACUGUGCGGCUAGAGUACUGGAGGGGCAGGCGGAAUUCCUAGUGUAACGGCGAAAUGCGUAGAUAUUAGGAGGAACACCAUUGGGCGAAAGCGGCCUGCUGGACAGCACCUGACGUUGACGCU